rnacentral:misc_RNA from 1 species
GAUGAAGAACGCAGCGAAAUGCGAUAAGUAAUGUGAAUUGCAGAAUUCAGUGAAUCAUCGAAUCUUUGAACGCACAUUGCGCCCGCCAGUAUUCUGGCGGGCAUGCCUGUUCGAGCGUCAUUACAACCCUCAGUCCCCCGGGCCUGGCGUUGGGGAUCGGCGGAGCCCCCCGUGGGCACACGCCGUCCCCCAAAUGCAGUGGCGGUCCCGCCGCAGCUUCCAUCGCGUAGUAGCUAACACCUCGCGACUGGAGAGCGGCGCGGCCACGCCGUAAAACACCCAACUCUUCUGAAGUUGACCUCGAAUCAGGUAGGAAUACCCGCUGAACUUAAGCAUAUCAAUAAGCGGAGGA